AGGGCAACCGGCCUUCAGUUAGUGCCUUCAGUGGGUGCCUUAAGUUGGUGGCAUUUGGUUGCCUUUCCAGGGGAGAGGUGGCGGGCGCUCAGCUCUGCAGGCUUGGGGCGAAGCCCCAAGGGAAGGCCCAAGCUGCCCAAGAAGAGCAGAGGUGCCCCACGGGGAACACGCUGGCCUGUCACAUGAGCACCAAAGACAGCCCCAGGUAGGGCCCGCGCAGGGCUUCUGCGGAGCCGUCCUGCGGCUCUGACAUCUAUGAGUGGGCGGCCAGCAAAGGCGCAGGCCCCAGCACAGAGGAGCAGAGGCGCCCGGAACACGCUGUCCCCCAAUGCCAGCUCCAAGCUGGGCUGGCUCAGGGUGCGGUGUUUGGAGCCGUCCUGAAGCUCUGAGAUCCACAAGGUGGCGGUGGGAGUAGCGCCAGACUCCACUGCUUUGGAGCCUACCUAGUCUGAUUUGGGAGCCAUGACUUGCAGCACAUUGGCGACCAGAAGACGCCAAAAGCACAGCCCUAUGUUUUACAUAUUGAAGAAACUUUCUGUCCAGCACCUAGGAACAGGUCUUCACAGGCUGCCACUGUUGGUGUGAAUCCUGCACCCGAUGCCUUCUACUCUAGAGGGGUGAUUUCGAGGAUUCCAGUUCCAUGUCCGGCAGCAGUCCACUGCGUCAAUUUCCUCAGAGCCACACCCAUGGGAUCCGCCAGUGCUCAGACCUAAGCUUAGCACACGCACUACAUCAGAGCAGAAAGAGAAAGAGACAACAGCAUCCACCUUUUCCUUGGAACAUUUUUCAUUUUCAAGACUUUAAACUAGUACUCCCCAUCCCACAUUCUGCUUAUUAAUCUUGGAAGAUUCUUUUAACAUUAUCUAACUGCUCUUCAGUUCAAUAAAGUAGUAAACCAGCACUAGGUAAAACUGACUAGUAUUUAAGAACUUUCUGGUAUUUGUCUGCUCUGAAAUUAAUAACUUCUUUCUGAUUUUCCUGGGGCCUAAGAGAGAGGAUUCAAACAGGCAUAAAACCCAAACAGAAAACUCCAAGAGUGGAAAAAAAGAAGUGGAAGAGGUUGGCAUUAAGGGCUUUUGUUCACAGCUCUGUUGGGAGCCAGCAGUUUCAAGGACAAAUGCUCCUUUGAGCCAGGACUCACAUUGUUUAGAAUUAUACUAUUAAACUGAAUAUUGUUAUCCUGACUUUCUUAUAGUGAUAAUACCUGCAUCAUCACAAUGAUGACUGAAGAACAUGAUUCUGAUAGCUCUGGUUUCCCCAAGUGCCUUCUGAGUUAUUAAAAAAAAAGAAAAGAAAAGAAAUAGAAUAAGAACAGUAUUGUGAAAUAUAAUUUUUUUCUGAAAAUUGAUGUAGGAAACAUUGAUCCUAUUACCAGACUAUCUGGACAAUCCAAAUACUAUAUUCUCUGCCCAUAUAUCCUGCCCAGAAUGACAUUUUACUGUAAUUCACAACCUUCUUAAGAGUUAAUGUGAGAGAUGUAGGAAUAAGUGAGAGUCUUUCUGCCUUUUUAUCUAAAUUAGUUACCGGAAGAGUCUAGCAGUAAAAUUUAAAACAAAUUCAAGUGAAACAAACUUCACAUUGGCUAAAUAGAAAUUAGUCUGUAAAAGAAGAUCUUUUAAAAAAUAACAGUAUCUGUAACAUUAAAUAAGAGCCAAGUUAGAAAGCAACUUCUGACUUUAAUUUAUAAUGAACAUUUAAGGCUUUUUUUGCAGAUAAGCUAUAUUUGUUUCUUUUCUCAUUGUAAUAACACUUAUUGAUAAAAUAUUUCUUCCAUAAUAUUAGAUGAAUGGUUAUACAAUUAAAAAUAGAAUAAAAUUAGGUUUUUUCUGAUCAUUAUAUUUUUACAAAGGCUCAAAGUACAAAGAUUAGACUUGGAGAUUUUACAUUCUGCACUGUAUUAAAUCUUAGAACUAUCUAUUAAAUUCAAUCACAGGAGAUCAUUGGAUCACAACAGGGCAGUACUUUCUGCUGAUAGAGUAUAGAAAUAUUAUAGAGAUGUCUAGUUACCAACACGAUAGGAAAGGGGCAUUAUCAGCCUUUAGUGAUGAGGACCAAGGAUGUAAAAUACCCUUCUGUGCAGGACAGUACCUCAGAAGGAAGAAUUCUGCUGUAACCUCCAGGUAUCUGAUAAGUGAAAAGCUUCAGAUAAGCACUACCUGAGCCUAGAAUUUUUCUACACUUUGCAAAAAUCGCAAAGUAUUUUGUCACAGUUUUAUUAUACCCUGAAUUUUCCAGAAUUGUAGCUAUCAUAAAUGAAAGGAAGGUAGUACAUACUUUGUUUUACAUGGAAUUUUACCAAGACAUCAUUGAUAGCAAGGUUAUUUGAGAAAUUUAAGUUGCAAUGGCACGUCUGUUACUAGUCUGCAUUUGGGGCUGCUGUGUUUACAGUAAUUCUGUGUAAGGCUGGACAUCUGACUACUUCCUUAUAUACUCUAGCGUAGUGGUAACUCAAGCGUUUACAUGCUGAUAUUUUAUUACAAUUAUUUUCUUUAUAGUUAGCACGCUAUUGAUAUUGAAAACUGUAUUAAAUAUGUACGAUUAUAAUCUAUGAUCUUGAUUUCAGGAUCGUAAAGCAGCAUUACAAAAUUUUGUUAUAAAAACCGAGUACUGGAUCAGAUAGGGUCGAGAACAACUGAUCCAGACAUAUAUACCAAAGUGUUCAUGAAAUAAAGCGUAGAAGUUAGUGCA